rnacentral:ncRNA from 1 species
AAAAAGGUAAUGAAAGGAAGACUGUAGAUGGAGUAUAGAAAGAGAGCUGGGGAUAGGUGAAAGCCAGUUAUACAAAAUCUAUGGAGAUGGUCCUGGAACUGUCUAGUCGAGGGAUUUCUUAGGCUAGAAGGGAGUGGUUUCCCUUAUCAAACACAGUGAUUAGUUUCACUUAUAGAGGCUGAUUUCGUGAGAAAUUAGCGAAAAAGGGUGGUACGGCGAAGAAAACUCUCGUCCCUUUA